GCAUCAGGACCAUCCUUAAACCUGGUGGAAACAGGCACAAGAAUGAAUCAGAUUCUUCUUUGAACUUACCCAGGAACAUCUAGGCUACAGCCAUCAAAUGUUGUGAGCAUUUUAAUUAACUCUGAUCUCUGCUAAGAUCUUCACUGGGGCCAGCACUACAGCCAUGGUGAGAUUGGCAGUACAGCCAGAAAAAGUGUAUCGUUCUUUUGCAUGGCUCACCAGUAUUUUCUCUCUUUUGAUAUGGAUCCAGGGUGCAAAAUCCAGGAGAAGAACGGAAAGGUGUUUUCAUAUCUGCUGUGUUUGCACAAGUCCCAGAAAGCUCAUGGUAAAGCAGCUGCUUUUACCUCUCAGAUUCAAGCCCAUUAAAGGAUUUGAUGAAAGCUAUUCAGUGCUGUGGGCAAAGAAGAACAAACGUGAUCCAUUUAGGUGAGUACAAGAAUCAUUUCAGACCUCUGAAAAGUAGGAAGAAGUUUCUUUGUACUCUAUAAUGACAUCAGCAAUCUCUAUACAUUCUCAGGAAUUGUCAACAACUGGCCUCCAGUAUAGCUUGAAGAUUUUAGAAACCUCACCAGUUACCAACAGGUCUGGACAAGAUUGCUUAAGACACAGAUUGCUGGGAAGGGUACAUUACAGCAGUGAAACUACAGCAUUUGACCUGUUCUUACACUUCAACUUCUUAGCAUUCACUACUGUGAGGGAGAAGAGCUUUCAGAGCUAUCUAAGAGUUAACUGGCUACAUUUCAACUGUCACCAUUGUCUUACAUCUGCAUAGAGAUGGAAGGAGAGCCAGAGAGGUGUAAGUACAGAAGACCACUGGGAAGAAAACAUUUGUAAGUAGAAAUUUCUGUUCAGAAGCCUCAGAGCAGAUCUUCACAGUUUGUCUUGAUUUUCUCUUUCCUUAUUUUUUAAACACAAUGUGCG
rnacentral:lncRNA from 14 species